rnacentral:rRNA from 1 species
UACAGAGGUGGCAAGCGUUGUUCGGAAUUACUGGGCGUAAAGGGCGCGUAGGCGGCCUACUAAGUCAGACGUGAAAUCCCCCGGCUUAACCUGGGAACUGCGUCUGAUACUGGAAGGCUUGAGUAUGGGAGAGGGAUGUAGAAUUCCAGGUGUAGCGGUGAAAUGCGUAGAUAUCUGGAGGAAUACCGGUGGCGAAGGCGGCGCUCUGGAACGGCCCUGACACUGAGGCUCGAAAGCGUGGGGAGCAAACAGGG